rnacentral:rRNA from 1 species
AUGCUGCAGGGUCCUGCCGGACCCGACUGCUAUCAGAGUGGGACUAAGCCAUGCGAGUCGACGUAGCAAUACGUGGCGAACGGCUCAGUAACACGUAGUCAACAUGCCCAGGGGACGUGGAUAAUCUCGGGAAACUGAGAAUAAACCACGAUAGGUCACGAUUUCUGGAAUGGAUCUUGGCUUAAAUCUACAUGGCCCCUGGAUUGGACUGCGGCCGAUCAGGCUGUUGGUGAGGUAAUGGCCCACCAAACCUAUAACCGGUACGGGCUCUGAGAGGAGGAGCCCGGAGAUGGGCACUGAGACAAGGGCCCAGGCCCUAUGGGGCGCAGCAGGCGCGAAACCUCUGCAAUAGGCGAAAGCCUGACAGGGUUACUCUGAGUGAUUUCCGCUAAGGGGAUCUUUUGGCACCUCUAAAAAUGGUGCAGAAUAAGGGGUGGGCAAGUCUGGUGUCAGCCGCCGCGGUAAUACCAGCACCCCGAGUGGUCGGGACGAUUAUUGGGCCUAAAGCAUCCGUAGCCGGUUCUGCAAGUCUUCCGUUAAGUCCAGCCGCUCAACGGAUGGGCCGCGGAGGAUACUAUAGGACUAGGAGGCGGGAGAGGCAAGCGGUACUCAGUGGGUAGGGGUAAAAUCCUUUGAUCCAUUGAAGACCACCAGUGGCGAAGGCGGCUUGCCAGAACGCGCUCGACGGUGAGGGAUGAAAGCUGGGGGAGCAAACCGGAUUAGAUACCCGGGUAGUCCCAGCUGUAAACGAUGCAGACUCGGUGAUGGGCUAGCCUUGUGCCAGCCCAGUGCCGCAGGGAAGCCGUUAAGUCUGCCGCCUGGGGAGUACGGUCGCAAGACUGAAACUUAAAGGAAUUGGCGGGGGAGCACCACAAGGGGUGAAGCCUGCGGUUCAAAUUGGAGUCACGCCGGGGACUCUA